rnacentral:rRNA from 1 species
UACGUAGGGUGCAAGCGUUAAUCGGAAUUACUGGGCGUAAAGCGUGCGCAGGCGGUUUUGUAAGUUUGUCGUGAAAUCCCCGGGCUCAACCUGGGAAUUGCGAUGAAGACUGCAAGGCUAGAAUCUGGCAGAGGGGGGUAGAAUUCCACGUGUAGCAGUGAAAUGCGUAGAGAUGUGGAGGAACACCGAUGGCGAAGGCAGCCUCCUGGGCCAGCACUGACGCUCAUGCACGAAAGCGUGGGGAGCAAACAGG